rnacentral:rRNA from 1 species
GAUGAACGCUGGCGGCGUGCCUAAUACAUGCAAGUCGAGCGAACAGACGAGGAGCUUGCUCCUCUGACGUUAGCGGCGGACGGGGGAGUAACACGUGGAUAACCUACCUAUAAGACUGGGAUAACUUCGGGAAACCGGAGCUAAUACCGGAUAAUAUCUUGAACCGCAUGGUUCAAUAGUGAAAGACGGUUUUGCUUUCACUUAUAGAUGGAUCCGCGCCGCAUUAGCUAGUUGGUAAGGUAACGGCUUACCAAGGCAACGAUGCGUAGCCGACCUGAGAGGGUGAUCGGCCACACUGGAACUGAGACACGGUCCAGACUCCUACGGGAGGCAGCAGUAGGGAAUCUUCCGCAAUGGGCGAAAGCUUGACGGAGCAACGCCGCGUGAGUGAUGAAGGUCUUCGGAUCGUAAAACUCUGUUAUUAGGGAAGAACAAAUGUGUAAGUAACUAUGCACGUCUUGACGGUACCUAAUCAGAAAGCCACGGCUAACUACGUG